rnacentral:sRNA from 1 species
GUUUCAACCUUUCCUUUUCCUUCAGGUGCGCACCCUGUGGCAUGACCCUCGUCACAUAGGCUGGAAAGAUUUCACCGCCUACAGAUGGCGUCUCAGCCACAGGCCAAAGACGGGUUUCAUUAGGUACGAUCAUACUGAUUCAAUUUCACUUACAGUCACACUGAUGGACAAAAAGACAAAAAGUAUUAAACAGCAUUGUCACUAAACAAGAUUUUUUUUCCCUGCAGAGUGGUGAUGUAUGAAGGGAAGAAAAUCAUGGCUGACUCAGGACCCAUCUAUGAUAAAACCUAUGCUGGUGGUAGACUAGGGUUGUUUGUCUUCUCUCAAGAAAUGGUGUUCUUCUCCGACCUGAAAUACGAAUGUAGAGAUCCCUAAUCAUCAAAUUGUUGAUUGAAAGACUGAUCAUAAACCAAUGCUGGUAUUGCACCUUCUGGAACUAUGGGCUUGAGAAAACCCCCAGGAUCACUUCUCCUUGCCUUCCUUCUUUUCUCUGCUUGCAUCAGUGUGGACUCCUAGAACAUGCGACCUGCCUCAAGAAAAUGCAGUUUUCAAAAACA